ACUCUGCCAGUAGUGGAGACCACUUGGGGAACGUGUGCACGUGGGCUUUCUCUUCUGUUUGCAGCAGUGAGGAUGCCCUUCCCUUUUUGCUGGGCUGGUGCUGGAGAGGUUGCAGAAAGGAAGGACUCCCCAGCGGCAUACCCAUUGGCAAGGGCUUCACAUGCGUGAGUCACGUCACCCUACUUACUGUGUGCUCGGGAUAUAGUUGCCAUUUGUCACAAUUCUAUUUAGCAGGAGAGCCAGCUCAUCCUCAGCAUCUCCUCACGUAAAUGAAAACUCGGUGCUCUUUUGUGAUGCCGGAAUGCACAGAGAUGCACAGAGAUGGCUCUUCACCAGCAAGCAGGCAGGCAGGUCUGCUGAGGAGACCAGUUGGCUGGCCUCCCACUCAUCCUCCCACCUGCUGCUCUGCACCUGGAGAUGGUGUCAGCUCACAGGAUGCGUCAAAAAUGCUAACGAGCAUCGGGUGAAAGUGAAGUCUGGGAGAUUCCUGGGUCAGGAGCCUCUGCUCUUUGCAGUCGGAGCACAACACCCUCCCAGCAGUGAGACUUCCGAGGAUCCCACGAAGCCUGGCUUGACAGUGCUUUCUGUGACAGCGAUUUUACAUCGAUCAAUCUGGGGACCCAGUGGGAAUCAGUGGCAGAAUUACCAGCGCAAGGCAAUUCCCAAUCUCCUUGGCCUGAAGCUGUUGCUCCGUAGAGGAACCAUCGCCCGACAUCCGAGAGACCAUGGACUCCACUCUCAGUACCGAGGAAACAAACAACCCGAGCAGGCCAGCAAGCCAAUAACUAAAAGCAUGGCUUCCUUUCUUUCCCAAGGAAGGCUGUAGAGACCAGCAGUCCUAGUCCCCAAGGUGGCAACUUUCUUCUGGCAACAUAUCUGAAGGCUAAGAGAAUGAGGAGGAGGGGCUUUGCCUGGUGCUACGGACUGUGGUAUGGUGAAGAGAAGAACCAACGCCCCUCCCUCUGCUCACUGGAUUGCCAGUGGGACUGCCAUGUUUUAGCCUCCCAGGGUGCAAAAUCACUAAUCUCCGUGUACACUGAGGAGGCUUAAUUCAGAAGGGGCUUCACUGUAAGUGAUACCUGUGAGACAUCGAACCCGGCCAGACAAUCGAGAAGGGAAUUUCAGACUUUGGAGACUGGGUGGGAAGAUUACGGAUCUAGAACCACACUGAAGAUAAGCUCUGGGGCAUGUCUGUGAGGAGGCCUCUAGAGUGGUUAACAAAAAUUGGAAGCCUCACCCUGACCGUGGGUGGCACCGUUCCAUUGGGAUGAAAUUCAGAACUAAACAGAACGUGAGGUGAGUACCAGCAGUCAUCUUUCUUUGCUUCUUCUAAAACUAUUCAUUUAUUUUAUUUAUAG
rnacentral:lncRNA from 1 species